CACAAAACCAGGUUUUCAUUGUGAAAAAAAAAUCUGAUAAAGGGAGAAAACUCAAACUGAACUUUUGAAAUGAACAAAAAAAAAUUAACCCCCUUUGUAAGUUUUUUUUUUUUUUUUAAAUCUAUUUUUAGUCGUGGCGACCUUGA